rnacentral:rRNA from 1 species
UACGUAGGGGGCAAGCGUUGUCCGGAAUCAUUGGGCGUAAAGCGCGUGUAGGCGGUUCGGUAAGUCUGCUGUGAAAGUCCAGGGCUCAACCCUGGGAUGCCGGUGGAUACUGUCGGACUAGAGUACGGAAGAGGCGAGUGGAAUUCCUGGUGUAGCGGUGAAAUGCGCAGAUAUCAGGAGGAACACCGGUGGCGAAGGCGGCCUGCUGGGCAGUGGCUGACGCUGAGGCGCGACAGCGUGGGGAGCAAACAGG